AAAUGAGAAGCAAACCUUGCAAUCAGUUUCGACCUGAUCCUAGAUAAAUCAAUUUAUCCUCAUUUU
rnacentral:tRNA from 2 species